rnacentral:lncRNA from 12 species
GAACAAUAACAUUAAAAACUCCUGCUGCGGGGUGGGCUCAGAGUCCUUCACCUCACAUUAAUGAGGCAGUGUGCCUGUGUUUUUCAGGGGGAUGGUACUGAAGAGUGGUUAUAUCCAACCACUGGAAUCCCAGGAGCUCUGAUCUUUGCACUGAGCACAGCAGAGAAGCAAACAGCAAUGCUGGGACCCUGCUGGGUGCUGGGAUCACUGGUUCCUGCUCUCCAUCAGACAUGGGUGCACACUAGGGCUCAGAGAAGAUCCCCUCUGCCCUUAAGGACCCCUUUUGCUCUUCAGGAUGCUACACACCAAAUGACAACAUAUGGUAAAUGGACUGGAAGAAUGAAUGUUUGUCCUUCUGACUGCUAAAGAUCUGUGCUAUUCUGGGGGCUCGACUUGCACUCAACCUGCCACAGACAUG